rnacentral:lncRNA from 1 species
AUGAACCCCCCUGCUGUGGGGGCACCCGGGCUGUAUGAACCCCCCUAUACAUCACAGCACUCCAACAGCCCCUCACCGCCCCCAAAACAAGAGAAAAGCCUCAUUUUUAACACAAAAAACCUUUAUUUCCGACAGCCCCAAACCGCGUGGCAGCACCAGCAGCACCGGGCACCCCCCAGCGCUCAGCCCCCGGCCCCAACCCCGGCGUCUCGGGGGCGCUGCGGGACCGGACCGGGGCCUCUCGGAGCCUCCGGGGGCCUCCUCCGGGAUCCUCCAGGAUCCUCCCCGGAGCCUCCCGGGGCCUCCCGGGGCAGGGCCGGGCGGGGCGAGCGCGGGCGGAGCGGGGCCGGAGGAGGAGGAGCGCGGGGCCCGGCCGCCCGCCCGCUCCGGUCGCCCCUGGAGACGGGUGGAGGGGCCGGAAGGACGGACGGAGCGAGGGACGGACAGACGGACAGACCGAGGGACAGACCGAGGGACAGACCGACGGCUCGCUGCACAAAUAAAAUCCAAGCCAGGCGGACAAGCACCGGGGCUGCCUAUGUAGCCUGA